AGGCCGGACAGUGGCUGUGGAUUGGGCCGUGGCAAAGGAUAAAUAUAAAGAUACACAGUCUGUUUCUGCUAUAGGUGAGGAAAAGAGCCAUGAAUCUAAACAUCAGGAAUCAGUUAAAAAGAAGGGCAGGGAGGAAGAGGAUAUGGAAGAGGAAGAAAACGAUGAUGAUGACGAUGAUGAUGAUGAAGAAGAUGGGGUUUUUGAUGAUGAAGAUGAAGAUGAAGAGGAAGAGAAUAUAGAAUCAAAGGUGACCAAGCCUGUGCAAAUUCAGAAGAGGUAAGCAGCUCAUCCUGUUCUGAGACAGCAGAGGAAGAUUCAAGAUUGUCUCCGAGAGGAAAAAUUCUCCUUUUUCUGCCUGCAUCAUUGCAAAAUUGACAUGUGUAAUGAAAUUGAAUAGGCCCUCUGUCAGCCCACCUCCUUAGUUCUGAUCUGUGCCAUUGCAGAGCAGUCAAGAGACCAGCCCCUGCAAAAAGCAGUGAUCAUUCUGAGGAGGACAGUGACCUAGAGGAAAGCGAUAGUAUUGAUGAUGGAGAGGAACUGGCUCAGAGUGAUACCAGCACUGAGGAGCAAGAGGAU
rnacentral:sRNA from 1 species